rnacentral:lncRNA from 1 species
UGAACCAUAUAAAUUGAAUUUGCUUCAAACAGUCUUGAAUUUGCUUCGAAGGUUUGAGAAUUGUAGUUGCCUUCUAUUGAUGAAGCUCUUGUUGGCACCAUAAAUUGGUUUUGCUUCACACUGUCAUGAUCAAGAGUGUGUGAAGCUUUUGAGAAUUGUGGUUGCCCUUCAUUGAUAAAGCUCUUGUUGGCACCAUAAAUUGGUUUUGCUUCACACUGUCUUGAUCAAGAGUGUGUGAAGCUUUUAAGGAUUGUGGUUGAACUCCUUUAAUGAAGCUCUUGUUGGCACCAUAAAUUGGUUUUUCUUCACACUGUCUUGAUCAAGAGUGUGUGAAGCUUUUAAGGAUUGUGGUUGAACUCCUUUAAUGAAGCUCUUUGGCACCAUAAAUUGGUUUUGCUUCACACUGUCUUGAUCAAGAGGGUGUGAAGCUUUUGAGAAUUGUGGUUGAACUCCUUUGAUGAAGCUCUUGUUGGCACCAUAAAUUGGUUUUUCUUCACACUGUCUUGAUCAAGAGUGUGUGAAGCUUUUGAGAAUUGUGGUUGAACUCAUCUAAUGAAGCUUUUGUUGGCACCAUAAAUUGGUUUUGUUUCACACUGUCUUGAUCAAGAAUGUGUGAAGCUUUUGAGAAUUGUGGUUGAACUCCUUUGAUGAAGCUUUUGUUGACACCAUAAAUUGGUUUUGCUUCACACUGUCUUGAUCAAGAGUGUGUGAAACUUUUGAGAAUUGUGGUUGCCCUCCAUUGAUGAGGCUCUUGUUAGCACCAUAAAUUGGUUUUGCUUCACAUUGUCUUGAUCAAGAGUGUGUGAAGCUUUUAAGGAUUGUGGUUGAACUCCUUUAAUGAAGCUCUUGUUGGCACCAUAAAUUGGUUUUGCUUCACACUGUCUUGAUCAAGAGUGUGUGAAGCUUUCUACGAGUUGUAGUGUUUGCAUUGUUACAGAGGGGAAAUGUCUGAAGUAGAUGCAAGAGGGCUGAAUAGCUUGAUCUUCGUAUGCCAUGCACUAAAGUUAUUGUUGGCUU